rnacentral:rRNA from 1 species
AUGGCAGAAUGCUUCAAUAAGGUGCUCAAGGGUGUACGUGCAUUACCUGUGACGGCAAUAGUUCAAUACACAUUUGACAAGAUGAAUGGAUACUUUUUAAAGUACUCAAUGGAGACGGAUAAGCAGAUUGCUAGUGAGAACAAGGAUAAGCACAAGUACUAUUUCCCACCAAAGGUUGAAGAAUGGUUGGACUUUCAAUCACGAAAGGCAGACUCCCAAGAAGCUGUACUAUAUGACGACAACGAGUGGAAGUAUGAAGUGAAAGAGCCUGGAGGAACCACAAACGAUGGGCACCAACACGGAGGCCGCGCUUUCAAGGUCUCCCUAACACGGUGUGAUUGCAGCUGCAUGAGGCCAUCGUUGCUUCAUCUCCCAUGCUCGCACUUGUUAAAUGCAUCCUGUGUUAGGAAUGUGGACGUCAAUCACCCUCUUACCGUGAGGGAGUCCGAGUUCUCAAUCAUGACGGUAAAGAAUACAUGGGCUCCCCGGUUUCAGCCAUACUUGGACCAAUCACAAUGGCCAGAGUAUCAUGGAGUUCAACUAUGGCCGGACCCG